GGAGUUUAAAAAAAUGACAGUUUAGUCCUUUAACCAGGUGAGUGAAUGAUGAACCAAACUCAGAGUGAUCGGCCAGAUGCUGCCGGGACAGGCUGUGACCUUUGCCCCUUCAGGAAGCGACCCAACACCUCUGAACAUGGAGCCGUAACCUCCUGCAGGAGAAAAGUGCUGAUGCGGUCAGAAGGAGGCAGAGGACGGCGGCUGAUGUGAUCUCAAGACACAGGAGACAGGAGACAGGAGACAGGAGACAGGUGUGUGUGUUUGUGUGUAACAGGUAAAACACUUUACAAUAACCAUGAUCUAUAAAUGGUAAAUAAACAGUUUAUUAAUGUUUAGUCAUCAUUUAAAAACAGCAUAUAGACCAAUUAUAGAUGGCAAAUGGAUAGUUUAUUAAUGUUAAUAUAAGUUAAUAAUAAGUUAAGUUAGGUUAAAUAUAAGUUAAAUAAGUUAAUAGUUACUAUUAACAAGCAAUGAAAUUAUGAUCAGACGGUCCUGAUUUAGCUCUAAAUGUAGUUUGUGAGUGUGGAGCUUCAUCACUUGUGUUAAAAACAGAAUAACAGAAACACGCUCUCAGAGGUUAAUUUUACUCUAAUUUACUCUCAAAUCUGAAAUGUGACAAAGUCCAUCUGGUUCUUCUCUGCCAUCCCAGCAUCCUCUGCAGUAGCUGGACAGAGAAACCCGAUACUGACCGCAGAGAGGGGGGAGGUCAGACCGGGGUCAAGGCCAUCGCCCAAAUAAUCAGGAGAAAGAGAUGAUCGGUGAGUCCACAGGAGAAGAGUUUCCUGAUUAAAACUCAUGAUACUUUUUAUUUUCUCGUCUUAUUUUGAUUUUAUGUCUUUUUUUAGCCUUUGUUUUACGCAUAAUCUUUUCAUAUUUAACCUUUUAGGCCUCUUAUUGAUGUUAUUGUUUUCUCAUUUCUGUUUUUCCAUUUUAUCAUGAAUAUUACCAUCAUUAUUAUUUUGUUGUCUUUCGUCUUUUAUCCUGUUGCCUGCUUUCUACCCCCUUUUUUUUCAUUACAUUUCCUAUUUUAUGUUUUUAUUUUGGUCCUCUUGGUCUCAUUUUAUGUUGUAAGGUUCUUUGUCCGGGUUCCUUAUGACAAAUGAAAUUGGUCUUCAAUAUGGAGACCCUGUUUUUAACUGAGCUUUUGUUUUCUGUUUUCUGUUUUAUUUUUUAUUUUGUUCUGUGCUUUACGACUGUUUGUUGAAGCUCUGUUUUUGAAAGUGCUAUAAAAAUAGAGUUAUUAUUAUUAUUAUUAUUAUUAUUAUUACACUGAACAUUUACAGACUCUGGAUAAUGGACCAAGAAACACUUUGUUUUCCUCUGAACUUGUGGGUGUUACUUUUUACACAACUUUGCAGUCAUGAGAAAAUUAUUCCGUCACUGAAAACAUCUGAGGAUAUCACGGUACGAAUGAGAUGGUAGAACCGUUCGUCUGAUCCAACACGAUCCAGGGGGGCUGCUGCUAUGAUGCUAAAAUACUCUGAUCAGUAAAGUUCUUCUUCUUCUACUGCCUGAAUGUAACCGAACAUCGUUGUCAUGUUUUAGAAAGUGUAGAUAGAGUUUUUUCUCGGCUGCGUCUGGUUGAACUCACCAAUCUUUGUCCUUUUUGUUUAAAACCUUUAAUUCAGAGCCGAGGACUGACUGAGCUCUGAUUCUGAUUGGUUGAUCCCUGUCAUUAUUAUCAGACUGCUGAACUUCAACUUAACAAUGAAAGUUCCCCAAAUCUUCACAGAUCGAUUACCCACAACCCCCCUCUGCCUCUGGGACUUCCUGGUCAGAAAGUCAUUUGUCAGUAUUAAGGUGGAUCAUGUCGGGAGCCACCGUCGGUACCAAGGUUAGGACGCAGCAGUUGAGUAAACAUCAGCCGGGGUAUCGCUUUCAGUACGGCUGCUGGUUUCACCUCAGAGUAAACAGAGGCGGCGUCCGCAGCGGCACUCAGGUAUCAGACUGACCCUGGUUUUAGACCAGAAGAUGUCUCCUUUCUGUCAGACUGAGGACGAGGAUGAGGAGGGGGAGAGCAGACAGAUGAUGAAGGUGUUUAUGUCUCCUCGCUGUUAAUCGUCAUAUCUGGUGUCGUGUCUGAGCAAAGGCUUUCUCUGUAGGUCACAGUCUGACCUGAAGGACCUGGACUGACCCUGACGCACCGACGCUGGCCUGAGUCUGAUCUGCUGUUCUGGUUUUAACAAAGAAAGGAUCAUGUUCACAAUAUCCACCAUAUUCAUCACAUUCAUCAUAUCCAUCAAAUUCACCAUAUUCAUCACAUUCACCAUGUUCAUCAUAUUUACCAUAAUCACCAUAAUGUCAUGUGAUUCCAAACAUAUGAAUUGAAUUUCCCUUUGAGGAUAAACAAAGUUCUUGUAUAUUAUAUUAAAUAUUCAUCCUAUUAACCAGAAUUCAUCGUACUCACCAAAUGUAUCAUAUUGAUUAUUUUUACCAUUUCCGACACAUUUACCAUUCUGACCACAUUUCAUCAUGUUCAUCAUAUUCACCAUAUUCAUCGCUUUUACAUAUUGACCAUAUUCAUUAGAUUAAUCAAAUUCACCAUAUUCUCCUUAUUCCCCAUAUUCACAAAAUUCAUCAAAUUCUCCAUAUUCAUUAUAUUCAUCAAAUCAGCUAUAUUCAUCAUAUUUAUCGUAUUCACCAUAUUCAUCAUACUCACCAUAAUAACUAUAUUGAUUAUAUUUACCAUUUUCAACACAUUUACCAAAUUCACCAUAUUCAUCAAAUUCACCGUAUUUACCAUAUUCACCAUUUUGAUCAUAUUCACCACAUUCGCAAAAUUCAUCAAAUUCACCAUAUUCAUUAUAUUUAUCAAAUUUGCUUUAUUCACCAUAUUCAUCAUAUUCACCACAUUUAUCAUAUUGAUUAUUUUUACCAUUUCCGACACAUUAACCAAAUUCAUCAUGUUCAACAUAUUCAAUUUAUUCAUCAAAUUCAUCCAAUUCACCAUAUUUAUUAUAUUCAUAAUUUUCACCGUAUCCAUUUUAUUCAUCAUAUUAACCAUUUUCACCAUCUUGAUAAUGUUCACUAUGUUCAUUGCUUUUAUAUAUUGACCAUAUUCAUCAAAUUCACCAUAUUCAUCAUUUUCAUCAUAUUGAAUUGAUCUUUAUAUUGAUCUUAUCCAUCAUGUUGAUCACAUUCCAUAUCAGUAUGUUUUGUACCAAGGCUGCAUGAUAAACCAUUUCAUCUCUUUUCAGUUGUGUCUGAUAGGGUUGGUCGUCACCCUUCUCUCUGUCAAUUGAAGUACUUAUUACUAGGAUUGGGGAUCAUUCAUUCUAACUGAUUACUGAUAUCAUUAUUGGGACUUCUUAAUGAUUCAGGUCCUUAUUAAAACCAGGAUCCGGUCUUCUCUGUUAUUGUCAUGACUUCAGUUUUCGAAGUCAGUCGUCAGGUCGGGUUUUGAGCUUGUUAUGUUUGUGUAUCUAAAUUCCCAGCUGGCCCUGAAGUAUCAACUCUGUAAAGCCAAACAGAGGAAACGGUCAAAGAGGUCGUGACCUUUCAGCCAGCGGGUACAUGUCCAAUCAGAAGGUCAGGGAUGGCGAGGAAAGACUCUACAUGUCUGAGUCCGUCAGUGAAUCGGUUUUAAGGUUUUGAGGAGUCCCUAAAAUCUGAACCUGCUGAUUGGUAGAAAGAUGCUGCGAAUGAAAAACUAAAAUUAUGACAGAAAAAGGAAAUCACUUAGUCGAUUAUGUCUGUAACUCACCUGCCAACAUUUUUAUUAAAGUUUAUGAAAAAACAUAAACUUUUAAAUUUAAUAAUCAGUUAACUUGAGGACCUGAACUCUUUAAAACCUUCAGAGCUCCUGAGAUAAAAACUCGACCUUGUGGUCAUUUUGCUGCUGCUGCUGAGCUUUGACAUUGACCUUGGCGUCCUGCUUCACAUCUUUAGUCCUCAGUUUGUCACUAAAAUAUCACGUUUCCAAACAGAGGUGGCUCUCCACACGGCUGAUGAAAUGUUCAAUGAUGCUUGGGUUUCAGCUCCUCACCAGCCUGAAUCCUGCAGCCCGUAUCCAGGCGUCCCCAGAGUGCCCCACCCUCUGGACCAGCAGCCCCCUCUGCAGGGUUUGGACCCCGUCAGAUGGGAGGGGGGCCCCUGGGAGCCAUUUAUAACCCGAGCCGGAGCUCUCACGGCAGAGUCCAUUCUCCUGCACUUCUCUGCCAAGUGUUAAAAGAGAGAUUCUUAAAAAUGGAGCAGCCAUAUGUACGGCAGCCCGGAGCUUUAGAUGAGCUUUUCAUCGAGGUGGGGGUCGACUUUUCUCCUCUUACAGCCC